UUGCACAGUGGUUCGACUUCCAAUGAGUUGCUAAUUGAUGACAUUAAAACUCGUGUACUGAGCUUUAAUGAAUCUAGAGUUUGUCAUGUCCGCUGUUUUGCCAAUUCUGUAGCGCAUAAAUUGGCCAAGUUGAUCUUAGUUUCCAACAACAGAUGUACUCCGGGACACCCUCUAUGAUAAAUGUAUGCUUUCUUAAGUUAUUGAAUAAAACGCUACCGUCUCUUUUCCUUAAAAAAAAAUAAUAAUAAUCAGAACAUGAACACAUACAUGCAACAAGGGAAAAGGUUAGGCAAAGAUGCGACAUCUUCAACAGGCAAUGUCUUUCAUUGGUGACAUUGUAACAUAGUGAAAAUAUAUAUCCUAAAUCUGCCAGACUGCCACCAAUGGAUAAAAAGAUGAUGCAUUUAUAUUCCGCUAUGACUUCAAAUUUUGUCCAUAAACUGUCAGAUUUGACAUUCCAACUUCUCUAAACGUAGAAUCCAGAAACUCUCCCUCUCUUUCUCCCUCUCUGUGGGUGCGUAGUGCGGAGUGGAGCCAAAUUGGCAAAUUUCUGUUGGCUGUUAAGUUGAAUGAUGUGUACGUAUAUAUACCACGUUACGUACCCCGAAAGUUGUCUUGGUUGAAUCUGUCUGCCAGAUAUAUAGCACAUACAGAGAGAGAGAGAGAGAGAGAGUCAAGGCUCACAAUUGACAUGUCUUCCAAUUCGUCACAUGCAUUUGUCAAGAAAACUUCAAACAAAACUUUUUUUUUAACAAACAAUAUUAUCUACACUAAAAGAGAAUGAGGGAGUGGGCUUAGUCUCACAAUGGACUAACAAUAAAGUGGUUCAAAUUCGCCUUUGGCUAGAAUCAAAUCUAAAACCUUUUACUUACAAGUGAAGAGAAAUAUCACUAGAUCAUAGUACUAUGUGGCACUUCAAAACAAAACUUAUAGGGUAAAUUACAUUUUACCCCUUCAGGUUUAGGGUCGAUUUCAAUUCCUUACAACAUCUUUAAAACAUUUCACUUUCAUACCUUAAGUACUAUUUUAUUUCAAUAUAAUACAUCUGUUACAUUUUUCAUCCAUUAGUCCGUUAAAAGCUAACGUGGCUGCCAAAUUUAUGCCACGUGGAAAAAAAAAUUAUGCAUUUAAAAUAUUAUA
rnacentral:lncRNA from 1 species